ACAGGGCUGCUGAGAAGAAAGGAGACAGGCGCAUCCGCACACAGAAAGCACUCAGUAAAUGCUGUUUCCCCCCUUCCCCCUAUACAAAGAGCUAUGGGGACCGGAAGGCGAAACAGAGCUGUCGACGCGGGAGCAUACGCUGCCCACCAGUGGAGCGCAGGUAAAGAAAGAGCGCGCGAUUUCCCGGCGCGGAGAGGGGUGGGGGAAGCCCCACCAGGACUGGGCGGCGCC
rnacentral:lncRNA from 1 species